AUGGGUUGGAGAAUCGGCCCAACUAAGAAACAUCAAGCUCGAAACAAAAAGCUUCGAUCCGGGAUCUUAGAAAGCUCUCUUCUUCGUCAAUUUCUCGCCGGCUCGAUCGAGUGAUUUGCAGCAGAAAAAAAGAUGUCUUUCAUGAGAGGAGACGCUUUAGUCUCGAAGCUUGCUGCGUUCGCUAAAUACGUGGUUCUUCCGGGAUCCAUGGUCGCUGCUCUCGUCUACUCGCCGCCGAACCUUUCAUCUUCUUCCAAACAGUCGAAAUCUUCCAUUUAGGUUACAAAGCUUACAACUAUGUGGCCUAAAGACUUCCUCUUCUCUUUCAAAAAAGUUAUUUUGUAGUCGACUCUGAUAUUCGAAUAAUGGUUCAAGGGAACCUUCUCCGUUGAAUAAUAUGCACAAGUUAAUUUGUGAAUCUUAUUAUGCCUUUCUCAUCUGUUAUUUAUUUUUGCCUUUUACUGUU